rnacentral:tRNA from 1 species
GGGAAAGUGGCUCAGUGGUAGAGUGCUUGCCUUGCAUGCAUGAGGCCCUGGGUUUGAUUCCUCAGUACCA